rnacentral:lncRNA from 1 species
AUCAAGCAUGGAUUCGACUGAAUAAAGUUCUUCCCUAGCUAGUAUAUUAUGGAAUAUCACAUUUGCAAUUACAUCAGUUAGAUCUAUUACCGAUGGAGGUGUCAAGCGGGCCUUGCCGGCAAGGCACGGCAAGGCAAGGGUAUGACACGAAAAAACUCGGCACGGACACAGUUUGGGCACGGUAUAAGCUGGGCCCGGCACGGGCCCGACACGGUAGUUAGCCUGGCUUGGGCCGACACGGGCACGGCCAAAGCCUGGCCCGGCCCGGACACGACACGAAAGUUGGCUUGGUUUGGAACGACACGAGCAUGGCACGAACUUAGUCAGGCACGUCACGGGCACGACACGGUCUUAGUCUGACACGACACGAUAAUUGGUCUAACACGAUGCGGAAGUGGUAAGAAAUGAUUAAUUAUUAAAUAAAUUAAAAUAAAAUUUAAUUAAACAAAUUGACUUAUUGGACUAAUUAUGUAAGACUGUGUUUCAAGCAUUACAUAUUUAGUAAGACUGUGUUUCAAGCAUUACAUAUUUAGAUUCGAUUUGAAAUAAAUUACACUAGAAGUUGAGUUAAAUUUGUGAACUUUUUUUAUAAUUUUUUUUAAAUUUACUGA